AAAAAUAUACAUAUAUAUUGUAAUCACUGAAUUUUGCCCGGGUAGGAUUUUGGGCUGGGCUGAUCUCAUAUGGGCCCAACGAUUGGACCCGUUGGGAUUUAAUUUUGGACUUGUUUUUGCCCAUUUUUAAUUUUUGUUUUAAAUAUUAAUAAAAUAGUAAUAAUAAAAUUUGAAAAAAAUGCAAAAAAUAUAAAUUACGUUUUAACCCCUGUACUUUGUAAAAUUUACAUUUUGACCCCAAGCUUUUCUAAAAUUACAUUUCAAACCCUAAACUUUCUCAAAAUUACACUUCGACCCCUAAACUUUCAAAAAAUUACAUCUUGGCCCUAUAUUUUCCCAAAAUUACAUUUUUACCCUAAAUAUUUUGUGUCUUCUACAUUUUGGUCCUUCUGGACUUGUCAAAUCACCCAAUCGGCAUCCAAGCAUGCUCCUGCCACUUCCAGCUACUCCGGCAGCUCCCUAGGCCAUGAUUUCCUUCCCCUGUCACCUAAAAACAAAGAUGAAGAAGACAAUUUUGGGGGAUUAAAAAGAAAAAUUGAAGAGAAAGGGGAGGGGGAUUUUUCGGCAGCCAAGAAAGAAAAAAACAGAAAACAGAGAGCAAAAAAAAAAACCUCCUUUCUCCCCCACCGCCACCAAGACCACCGCGCCACCACCAGUGUUGCUCCACCGCCGGAACCUACAACAAAUCAAACACAACAAGCAACAAGCAACCAAAAAGGAAGAAAGAGACAGUAAAAAAAAUAGCAGCAAAAAAAAUAGUAAGAAAUUUUUGGCCUUCUUCGUGAGCCACCGAGGGCGGAGAAUAGCCAAGGACGAGUGUUGCGGCGGCGCUUUCAACCUUGGGGUUGCCGAGAAAAGAAAUAGAAGAGAAAGAAAAGAGAGGAAAGGGAAGGAGAGAAAGGGGAAAGAGAAGAGAAAAGGAAAAGAAGAAAAGGAGGAAGGAAGAAAAUAAUAAAAGGAACGAGAGGGAAACGUCGGUCGUUACACCGCCGAACGGAGCAAGGAGUCACCAAUGGCGGCAGCUAGGGCUUGAAAGGAAGGAAAAGAAAGUUAAGAGAAGAAGAAGAAAGGAAAAAGAACAAGAGAGAAAAAGAAAUAAAAAAAUAAAAACAGCAGGCCACUUUUUUGGUAGGCCACCAGCAGCUCACCACCAGCAGGCCCACUCCUCUAGCAGCCCAACGUCAGCAGUCCAGGCCCGCACCCAGCAGCACACCAGCAGGCCCAGAUUCGGCAGCAGCCCAGUCCAAAAGCAACAGGCAGCAGGCCAGCUGGCAGAACCGACCCGCCUGACCCGACCCGGAUCCGGUCCAGCGCAGGCCCAACGCCCCAGCAGCUCCAGCAGGCCCGAUUGCAGCAGUGAAGCAGGCCAGCCCACUGAGGCCCAAGCCGAAAAAAAAGAAAAUAGGGAAAAAGGAAAAGGGCUUUUUUGGUAAUUUCUUAAUCUUUUAAUUUAAUCCAUUAAAUUAAUAUUUUAAAAAUAGUUUUUUUUGGAAAUAAUAUUACAUGUAUU
rnacentral:lncRNA from 1 species